CGGGAUGUAGUAUAUCGGCAGUACGUGCCCAUGGGGUGGGUAAGGGCCGGGUCCGAUUCCCGGCAUCCCGACCA
rnacentral:tRNA from 1 species